rnacentral:misc_RNA from 1 species
GAUGAAGAACGUAGCGAAAUGCGAUACUUGGUGUGAAUUGCAGAAUCCCGUGAACCAUCGAGUCUUUGAACGCAAGUUGCGCCCGAAGCCAUUAGGCCGAGGGCACGCCUGCCUGGGCGUCACACGUCGUUGCCCCCCCAUCUACUCCUUCGGGAUUGCGGGGGGCGGAUGAUGGCCUCCCGUGCGCCUCGCCGCGCGGUUGGCAUAAAUGCCAAGUCCUCGGCGACGCACGCCACGACAAUCGGAGGUUGCGAAACCUCGGUUGCCCGUCGUGUGCGGUCGUCGCGCAUCGAGGGCUCGAAAAAAUUGCCGGGUUCCGGCUCGGCUUUCAACGCGACCCCAGGUCAGGCGGGGUUACCCGCUGAAUUUAAGCAUAUCAAUAAGCGGAGGA